GCAGAAUUUGUUUUCAGAAUAAUCUGAACUCACUGGUUGAGCAUCGAUUGUGUGCCAACUAUUGAUUGGGUUAUUGCGAAGGGAAAGCUCGUUUACUGAAACGAUUUACAGGCCACUUAAAUUCUGCACUAUGCCGCCCGAUUCAUACUUCACAAGGCUCGAAUAGAAAUUAUAGUGCUCAAUUGAUGGUUUACGUCGCCCGAAAAAGUAUAUACGGCAACCGAUAACGCCUUGACGAUGCCGGAUUGGCUAGGUAAACUAUGUAACAUUAACACAUUACCUUAAUUAAUUAUCUUAUGAAAAAAUAAACACUGAGCCGUCUUCCUUCUUUGCUGCAGCGUUUCCAGUCCAAACAAAAACCAACUAUAUCCAUGUUUUAUGUUGUUUGAUGCAGUUUUCAUACUGUCAUUUGCCACAAUACGUUAUGAUGGUUGAGUAAAUUACAGCAAGCUCAGUGAAUUGUAGCUAAGAUUUUACACACUAA